rfam:Aedes aegypti strain Liverpool supercont1.66 genomic scaffold, whole genome shotgun sequence.
GGCUCGGUAGCUUAGUUGGUAAAGCGCUCGUCUAGCAUACAAGAGUCCUGGGUUCAAAUGUCAGCCGACCA